UCUCCUUACCUAUUUCUUUCUUCCUUAAUUUCAUUUUCUUUUCUUUUCUCUCUUCUUUUUUUUUUCCAGAAAGUUCACAUAAAUAGAAGCCAAAGUCUAAAAGAAACAUCUAUUGUUGAUACCUCUCUGCAACCAGAUGCUGUAACUCCUAUUCCGGAUGGGAAGCAUCAGCCUCAUUUCUGACCUGAUUCUACAGACUUCUGAGAGCUCUGUGAUGUCAUGGAAGCAUUCCUGACCUAAAGGGAUACAUUUGUUGAACCAAAAAUAUCAGGCACGCAGUUUGGAAUCACUAAAGUUGGGCUUCCUCAGCUGCAGUAUGCAAAAUCACUUCCAAUGGCUAUGGCUGUCCAGCAGAAAAGCUCAACUUCGCUUAUGAACAGAAUAUUAGAGAUGGAGGCAUUUGCCUUCAGGUCUCAUAAAAACCCCUAAAAGCAAACAAAAAGUGGAGCUGCUGUCACAGAGGAGUACUGCUUCACAAUCUGCAGUUUCUUCCAUGAAAGCCAGAAUGCCAAAGGGCACUGAGGGAGGCUGCAGCACAGAUCCGGCAGUCCUUGAGGGCAACUUCAGGCAUUUCAGCAUGUAGAACAAGGACAGCUUUAAAUAGCAGUAGAGAGAACAAAGCCUCGUGUGAUCAGCAUGUGCUCUUGAAUCAGAUACUCCUGAAUCAGAUACUCCACAGCACUUUGCUACGAACAGGAUUAUUAGCCCAGCACAAUUCUUCAUUUCUUCACAAUGAAAAAACUGAUGACAUCUACUCAGGAGAUCACAAAUGAUUUCUACUACGAACAUUUGAAAAUAACUGAAUGGUCAGAGUAUUCAUGUUACACCAGGCUACACAACUAAAAUAUUCAGAAGACAUAUGUAGCAGAAAUGCUAAGCCACGGCCUGAAAUGGUGAUUGAGUACCUGGUGGGAAGACAGGUCCAACUCAGGGGAGCUCAGGUCUAAGCAAUGCUCCUAAGUAACCAGAAGGGGUGAAGCCAGGAUCAGCUCCUUCCCAGACCUCAUUUAAGGGCUGGCAGUGGAGCUUGAUGGAACUACAGCUUGCUUCAUCUUCCACUUGCCUGUUACGGAAAGUUAAUGCCUGCUCCCAUCGACGCAGUGCUUCUUCAAAGAGCUCCAUACCUAUAGGAACAUCAGGAAUGCCUCCAUUCCAUCAGGCACACAGCUUUGAGCUCAGAGAAAGAGUCAAGUUUUGUCGGCUACUGGAACAACUUGAACCUAUUAGAUACAACAUUUUCAGUUUGAAGAAGCUUUAAAACUAGCAGAUCUUAUGUUAGCAAGAACCAGCAAGAACUGUUUCCAGAAAUUUCAAUAAAAUCCAGUUCAGAACCAAA